rnacentral:rRNA from 1 species
CGGCGGACGGGUGAGUAACGCGUGGAUAACCUGCCUCAUACAGGGGGAUAACAGUUAGAAAUGACUGCUAAUACCGCAUAAGACCACAGCACCGCAUGGUGCAGGGGUAAAAACUCCGGUGGUAUGAGAUGGACCCGCGUCUGAUUAGGUAGUUGGUGGGGUAACGGCCUACCAAGCCGACGAUCAGUAGCCGACCUGAGAGGGUGACCGGCCACAUUGGGACUGAGACACGGCCCAA